ACAUCCAGUAUACCACAAGCUAGUGCUACGGUGGCCUUGGUGAAGCAAAAAAGGCGGCACUAGAACGAAGGUCCAACAAUGUCUCUAACAUUCUCUCAAACGCUAGUCCUCUAUUCCUCAGACCCACCUCACACUUGUCUCAAUUCAAUUCGGAAGCUUUCGCCAACAUUCUACAGAAAUGUCAGCAACUCUGUUUCUCGCAGAAGCAAGAGAUUUCAGUUCCAUGCAAACUCCACUGACUCAGACGACGAAUUGGGAACUAGACAAGUUGCUGCCGUUUCCAACCCAUCAUCCACCAGCCUUCUCUCUUUUCUUUGCCCCUUGCUCAAACUCUUCUCCGGAGGAGAUCCCUCACAAGAACGGAACUUUACCUUGGAGGUAGCCACAUCUUCCUUGUCUACCUUGGCUAGAUUCCCUUGGGGAUCAAGAUCUCUAUCCAAUAAUUCGGACAGCCAGGAAGUCACUACCUUGGAUCCUCCUCUGCGUCUGCAGCUUUUUGAAUUCGAGGCCUGCCCUUUUUGCAGGAGGGUUCGCGAAGCUAUGACUGAGCUAGAUCUUUCAGCAGAGGUGUAUCCUUGUCCAAAAGGUUCGAUAAGACACAGAGAAUUGGUUAACAGAUCUGGUGGAAAAGAGCAAUUUCCUUUUCUCAUUGAUCCAAAUACCGGUUUUUCAAUGUAUGAAAGCGGUGAAAUCGUGAGAUACCUAUUCCAGCAAUAUGGGAAAGGCAGAAAACCUUCACCAGGGCUUUUGGAAAGUACAUUGCUUACAGGGUGGAUGCCGACAAUAUUUCGAGCAGGGAGAGGAAUGACAUUAUGGGAAAGGGCUACUGUAGAGCCACCACCUGAAAAGCUGGAACUUUACUCGUACGAAAAUAAUCCGUAUGCACGAAUUGUGCGUGAGGCACUUUGUGAGUUGGAGCUUCCUUACAUCCUACAGAAUGUAGGAGAAGGGUCGCUGCGGUUAAAGCUGCUUGUUGAUGCAUCGGGGUCCAAAGAGCCAGGCCUUGCUUAGACUUCGCAAUGGUAAUGAAAUAAAGUUCCAAGGCAUCCUCCCAUCUAUUCUAUGGGUCCCCUUCAGUACAACCUUGUACUGAUACAUUAGUGGAAGACCACCUCAAGCAAUGCAGACUAGCUCCUUGCAGUGGUAGAUUAUGGAGAGCUGGUCUAGCAUUGCAGUGGUUCCCCUCACUAGCUAGCCGGAGUAGUGGGGCCGUAUCUUGAGACAUACUGAAAUCCAUGGCUUUCAAACCGCAUCUUCAAAAUCAAAAGAUAAAUGGGCUCGUUGGGAAGAAAGAUGGAGUGCGGCCUGUAGAGCACAUGUAACGCACAGUCAGGUUCCCUACUUGAUUGAUCCCAACACUGGUACUCAUGUUGGUGACUACAAGAAGAUCCUGUCCUACUUGUUCCAGACAUAUUCAGUAGCCGCUGUAUAGGAUAUAAAUCAGUUGUAAAUGCUGCAACGCUUGAAAAUCCAAAUGGCUGGAGGUAAUUUUACUAGACGUACAUGCCUUAACAAAUCACUUAGUGACUUGACAUCCUUAAAUAUUCAAUUCCUCUGUAAAUUUGAAUAUUGUAUGACAUGUACAUAUGCUGUAACAAAAUUACUUGGUGGUAUAGGCAAUCUGCUUCAUCUUU